UACAGAGGGUGCGAGCGUUGUCCGGAAUCACUGGGCGUAAAGGGCGCGUAGGCUGCCUGAUAAGUAGGGGGUGAAAUCCUGUGGCUUAACUGCAGGGCUGCCUCCUAGACUGUUAGGCUCGAGCACGGUAGAGGCAGAUGGAAUUCCCGGUGUAGCGGUGGAAUGCGUAGAGAUCGGGAAGAACAUCGGUGGCGAAGGCGGUCUGCUGGGCCGUUGCUGACGCUGAGGCGCGAAAGCGUGGGGAGCAAACAGG
rnacentral:rRNA from 1 species